rnacentral:lncRNA from 10 species
AUGAGAUCUCUCAUGGGACCUCUCUCAUAUUUUACAGAACUCCCCAUCUUUCUCAUCUCCACACCUCCUGAAAUGUCAUUCUUCCAUCUAAUUUGGACGGGAUGCUCAUGGGCUCCCAAGCAACAGUGUGAAGAGACACUACAAACGAAAUCUUGUUGUAGGAGAAACAUUAACAAAGAAGCAACUGCUAUGGUGAAUUUGAGGUACAACCUUACCGUCUCCAUGGAAAUGACUAACAUUUUGAUGCCUUUAUUCAGGUCUGCAUGGGUGCAUGUACCCAUAAAUGUUGUGCUUUAA